UGUUGUCCUUCGAUCCCUGUUCAUCGACAACCCUUGGGCUUCGUCGCCCUUGCGGUGGAGCUUUGGUUCCUGUGUUGCGUACCCCAUUAUUGCGGAAUUACUCUGUUUGGAUGUCCUUUCCUUCCCYGUCGUCUCGUCGACGCACGGGGCGGACAACGUGGCGAUUCGAGCGUUCCAUGCAUAAGCCCCAGGCGGUUGCUAUGGCACGUUCGUUUYYGUCGGUGCUUUUGGAUGCGGAAUGCUGUGCUUUGCAAGAGGAGCUCUUCCGCCCUCUGCAGUCCCGAACAGAGCAAAAUUUGCUCAACAAGUCUGACGAUCGCGCAYGCCUYGGCACAUUGUUUUGAUUUAUCAGCUCGAUGGGCCAUCGCGUGUCGCGGUGUCGCGAAAGAUUGCUACCUGGUUGAUCCUG
rnacentral:misc_RNA from 1 species